UACGUAGGGGGCAAGCGUUGUCCGGAUUUAUUGGGCGUAAAGAGCGUGUAGGCGGCCAUGCAGGUCAGCUGUGAAAACUCGAGGCUCAACCUCGAGACGCCGGUUGAAACCAUCUGACUAGAGUCCGGAAGAGGAGAGUGGAAUUCCUGGUGUAGCGGUGAAAUGCGCAGAUAUCAGGAAGAACACCCGUGGCUAAGGCGGCUCUCUAGUACGGUACUGACGCUGAGACGCGAAAGCGUGGGGAGCGAACAGG
rnacentral:rRNA from 1 species